rnacentral:rRNA from 1 species
GACGAACGCUGGCGGCGUGCUUAACACAUGCAAGUCGAACGGAAAGGCCAGUGCUUGCCCUGGUACUCGAGUGGCGAACGGGUGAGUAACACGUGGGUGAUCUGCCUUGCACUCUGGGAUAAGCUUGGGAAACUGGGUCUAAUACCGGAUAUGAACUGCCUUUAGUGUGGUGGUUGGAAAGUUUUUUCGGUGCAAGAUGAGCUCGCGGCCUAUCAGCUUGUUGGUGGGGUAAUGGCCUACCAAGGCGUCGACGGGUAGCCGGCCUGAGAGGGUGUACGGCCACAUUGGGACUGAGAUACGGCCCAGACUCCUACGGGAGGCAGCAGUGGGGAAUAUUGCACAAUGGGCGGAAGCCUGAUGCAGCGACGCCGCGUGGGGGAUGACGGCCUUCGGGUUGUAAACUCCUUUCGACAGGGACGAAGCGUAAGUGACGGUACCUGUAGAAGAAGCACCGGCUAACUACGUG